CCUACGGGUGGCAGCAGUGAGGAAUAUUGGUCAAUGGACGAGAGUCUGAACCAGCCAAGUAGCGUGAAGGAUGACUGCCCUAUGGAUUGUAAACUUCUUUUGUCUGGGAAUAAAGGGGUGCACGAGUGGGAGUAUGUCUGUACCAUAUGAAAAAGGAUCGGCUAACUCCGUGCCAGCAGCCGCGGUAAUACGGAGGAUGCGAGCGUUAUCCGGAUUUAUUGGGUUUAAAGGGAGCGUAGGUGGCUUGUUAAGUCAGUGGUGAAAGUUUGCGGCUCAACCGUGAAAUUGCAGUUGAAACUGGCAGUCUGGAGUACAGUAGAGGUGGGCGGAAUUCGUGGUGUAGCGGUGAAAUGCUUAGAUAUCGCGAAGAACCCCGAUUGCGAAGGCAGCUUACUGGACUGCCACUGACACUGAGGCUCGAAAGUGUGGGUAUCAAACAGGAUUAGAUACCCGAGUAGUC
rnacentral:rRNA from 1 species